rnacentral:lncRNA from 1 species
CUUGCCUAUGGGCCCUGAAAUGAAGCAGAGAUCAAGGAGCUGCAGGUGAGGUGACUCAGAAGACUGAAGGAUGCAAUGUUUCAGAACAAGCUGGAGAUAAAGUCCACCGAAGUCAUCCUUCCAGCAAGGUCUGCUGAGUCUCUCAGCCUGGUUCCAGUGGGGGUCCGAGAGGAGCUACAGUCACUUUCCACCCUUUGUCACUGCUCUUAAACUGGGCGCUGUUCCUGGGGACAACAUGAUGCCCGUGCCCUAGGGAUAUAACGUGGCCAACUGCUCCCAGCUUCUGACAACUCCCCCACCACAAUGGACCAUCACCGGGAACUGAGUUAAAAAUAAAGCUUUUGUCUCUUAA